AUACGUAGGGUGCAAGCGUUGUUGGGAAUCACUGGGCGUAAAGGGCGUGUAGGCGGAGAAGUAAGCCAGAGGUGAAAGCCCGGGGCUCAACCCCGGAGGGUCUUUUGGAACUGCUUUUCUUGAGAGGGUUAGAGGUUAGCGGAAUUCCUGGUGUAGCGGUGAAAUGCGUAGAUAUCAGGAGGAACACCGGAGGCGAAAGCGGCUAACUGGGGCCAAUCUGACGCUGAGGCGCGAAAGCAUGGGGAGCAAACGGGAUUAGAAACCCCGGUAGUCC
rnacentral:rRNA from 1 species